UGUCAACCGCGGCGUUUGUAUUUCUAUUAAAUUUUAUAAAAGAUUUCUCUACUAGUAAAGUGCAAUUGCAUUUUAUUUUUAUUGUUAUUAAAAUUUUUUUAUAUUCAAAAGUUUACUGCCGUGUGAUUUAUGAUCCUCAAAUUUAGAAGGUUAUCCCUACUCUUUAAAUGGUAGUUUUUUAGUCAAGGUCAUGAUUGUAUGCCCACGCGAUUUUUCAAUGGAUUUAAUGCUCAAGAAAAAAAUUUUUAAAUUUCGCGGUCUGCAAAAAGUGAAGAUUAAUCAUUUAUAUUUUUAAAUUUCGCGGUCAGAAAAUUAUAAAUUCAAAAUUUUUUGUUAAAGUCUGCGGUCUGUGAAAAUAAAAAUUUUUUGGAGU